CCCUUAGAUGUUCUGGGCUGCACGCGCGCUACACUGAUGCGCUCAACGAGUUUACGAACUUGCCCGGAAGGGUUGGUUAAUCUUUUUAAAACGCAUCGUGAUGGGGAUAGAUUAUUGCAAUUAUUAAUCUUCAACGAGGAAUUCCUAGUAAGCGCGAGUCAUCAGCUCGCACUGACUACGUCCCUGCCCUUUGUACACACCGCCCGUCGCUACUACCGAUUGAAUGAUUUAGUGAGGACUUCGGACUGGGACCGAUGCGGCUUUCGGGCUGCGUCGGUAUUCUGGAAAGAUGUCCAAACUGUAUCAUUUAGAGGAAGUAAAAGUCGUAACA
rnacentral:rRNA from 1 species